rnacentral:rRNA from 1 species
GACGAACGCUGGCGGCGUGCUUAACACAUGCAAGUCGAACGGAAAGGCCCUGCUUUUGUGGGGUGCUCGAGUGGCGAACGGGUGAGUAACACGUGAGUAACCUGCCCUUGACUUUGGGAUAACUUCAGGAAACUGGGGCUAAUACCGGAUAGGAGCUCCUGCUGCAUGGUGGGGGUUGGAAAGUUUCGGCGGUUGGGGAUGGACUCGCGGCUUAUCAGCUUGUUGGUGGGGUAGUGGCUUACCAAGGCUUUGACGGGUAGCCGGCCUGAGAGGGUGACCGGCCACAUUGGGACUGAGAUACGGCCCAGACUCCUACGGGAGGCAGCAGUGGGGAAUAUUGCACAAUGGGCGGAAGCCUGAUGCAGCAACGCCGCGUGCGGGAUGACGGCCUUCGGGUUGUAAACCGCUUUCGCCUGUGACGAAGCGUGAGUGACGGUAAUGGGUAAAGAAGCACCGGCUAACUACGUGCCAGCAGCCGCGGUGAUACGUAGGGUGCGAGCGUUGUCCGGAUUUAUUGGGCGUAAAGGGCUCGUAGGUGGUUGAUCGCGUCGGAAGUGUAAUCUUGGGGCUUAACCCUGAGCGUGCUUUCGAUACGGGUUGACUUGAGGAAGGUAGGGGAGAAUGGAAUUCCUGGUGGAGCGGUGGAAUGCGCAGAUAUCAGGAGGAACACCAGUGGCGAAGGCGGUUCUCUGGGCCUUUCCUGACGCUGAGGAGCGAAAGCGUGGGGAGCGAACAGGCUUAGAUACCCUGGUAGUCCACGCUGUAAACGGUGGGUACUAGGUGUGGGGUCCAUUCCACGGGUUCCGUGCCGUAGCUAACGCUUUAAGUACCCCGCCUGGGGAGUACGGCCGCAAGGCUAAAACUCAAAGGAAUUGACGGGGCCCCGCACAAGCGGCGGAGCAUGCGGAUUAAUUCGAUGCAACGCGUAGAACCUUACCUGGGUUUGACAUGGAUCGGGAGCACUCAGAGAUGGGUGUGCCUCUUUUGGGGUCGGUUCACAGGUGGUGCAUGGCUGUCGUCAGCUCGUGUCGUGAGAUGUUGGGUUAAGUCCCGCAACGAGCGCAACCCUUGUUCACUGUUGCCAGCACGUUAUGGUGGGGACUCAGUGGAGACCGCCGGGGUCAACUCGGAGGAAGGUGGGGAUGACGUCAAGUCAUCAUGCCCCUUAUGUCCAGGGCUUCACGCAUGCUACAAUGGCUGGUACAGAGAGUGGCGAGCCUGUGAGGGUGAGCGAAUCUCGGAAAGCCGGUCUCAGUUCGGAUUGGGGUCUGCAACUCGACCUCAUGAAGUCGGAGUCGCUAGUAAUCGCAGAUCAGCAACGCUGCGGUGAAUACGUUCCCGGG